rnacentral:rRNA from 1 species
UAAGGAAUAUUGGUCAAUGGACGCAAGUCUGAACCAGCCAUGCCGCGUGAAGGAUGAAGGUCCUCUGGAUUGUAAACUUCUUUUAUCUGGGACGAAAACGGGAUUUUUAUCUCAAUUGACGGUACCAGAGGAAUAAGCACCGGCUAACUCCGUGCCAGCAGCCGCGGUAAUACGGAGGGUGCGAGCGUUAUCAGGAUUUAUUGGGUUUAAAGGGUCCGUAGGCGGGCCUGUAAGUCAGUGGUGAAAUCUCAUAGCUUAACUAUGAAACUGCCAUUGAUACUGCAGGCCUUGAGUAAAUUUGAAGUAGCUGGAAUAAGCAGUGUAGCGGUGAAAUGCAUAGAUAUUACUUAGAACGCCGAUUGCGAAGGCAGGUCACUAAGAUUUAACUGACGCUGAUGGACGAAAGCGUGGG